rnacentral:rRNA from 1 species
AUUGAACGCUGGCGGCAUGCCUUACACAUGCAAGUCGAACGGCAGCACGGGAGCAAUCCUGGUGGCGAGUGGCGAACGGGUGAGUAAUAUAUCGGAACGUGCCCAGUCGUGGGGGAUAACGCAGCGAAAGCUGUGCUAAUACCGCAUACAAUCUCUGGAUGAAAGCGGGGGACUCGCAAGAGCCUCGCGCGAUUGGAGCGGCCGAUAUCAGAUUAGCUAGUUGGUGGGGUAAAAGCUCACCAAGGCGAUGAUCUGUAGCUGGUCUGAGAGGACGACCAGCCACACUGGGACUGAGACACGGCCCAGACUCCUACGGGAGGCAGCAGUGGGGAAUUUUGGACAAUGGGCGCAAGCCUGAUCCAGCAAUGCCGCGUGCAGGAAGAAGGCCUUCGGGUUGUAAACUGCUUUUGUACGGAACGAAACGGUCCUGGUUAAUACCUGGGGCUAAUGACGGUACCGUAAGAAUAAGCACCGGCUAACUACCGUG